rnacentral:ncRNA from 2 species
AGGAGCCGUAUGAGGUGAAAGUCUCAAGUACGGUUUGGAAGUGGAGUUGGGGAAGGUGACUUCCCUUUCGACCAUAAC